AGACCGCUCGUAGUAGAAGUUCGACUCUCGCGGGAGCUCGAUUAGGAUCCGAGGGGUGGUCGACCGCCAUAGAAACUUGGGUGGAGUUUGGUUACCGUGGAAAUCACGUUGUCGGGGAAGCUAGGAUGCUGGUGAAGCCCGAAAGAAGUUCGGGGUAGAAACUCAGGUGGUUGGUUGCUGUAGAAGGUUGGCAGACAGUGAGUCCCAGAGGGCCUUCGGGGCGGCUCGAUGGAUGAGCACAGAAGUUCAUUAUCGGAGAAGUCCGGAUGAUCGAGGAGGUUCGGAGAGGCACCACGC
rnacentral:lncRNA from 1 species